rfam:Haemonchus placei strain MHpl1 genome assembly, scaffold: HPLM_scaffold0001569
GGCACAAACUCGAAGUAGAAUAGUUGGGUAUGGUCAGUUGAUCCUACUAAUCUACUCUACUUCAAGUUUGUGCCC